rnacentral:rRNA from 1 species
UACGGGGGGGGCAAGCGUUGUUCGGAAUUACUGGGCGUAAAGGGCUCGUAGGCGGCCAACUAAGUCAGACGUGAAAUCCCUCGGCUUAACCGGGGAACUGCAUCUGAUACUGGAUGGCUUGAGAUUGGGAGAGGGAUGCGGAAUUCCAGGUGUAGCGGUGAAAUGCGUAGAUAUCUGGAGGAACACCGGUGGCGAAGGCGGCUUUCUGGACAGAUACCGACGCUGAGGCACGAAAGCUAGGGGAGCAAACAGG